rnacentral:rRNA from 2 species
GAAAGCCUUCGGCUCAACCGAAGAAGUGCAUCGGAAACUGGGAAACUUGAGUGCAGAAGAGGACAGUGGAACUCCAUGUGUAGCGGUGAAAUGCGUAGAUAUAUGGAAGAACACCAGUGGCGAAGGCGGCUGUCUGGUCUGUAACUGACGCUGAGGCUCGAAAGUAUGGGUAGCAAACAGGAUUAGAUACCCUGGUAGUCCAUACCGUAAACGAUGAAUGCUAAGUGUUGGAGGGUUUCCGCCCUUCAGUGCUGCAGCUAACGCAUUAAGCAUUCCGCCUGGGGAGUACGGCCGCAAGGCUGAAACUCAAAGGAAUUGACGGGGGCCCGCACAAGCGGUGGAGCAUGUGGUUUAAUUCGAAGCUACGCGAAGAACCUUACCAGGUCUUGACAUACUAUGCAAAUCUAAGAGAUUAGACGUUCCCUUCGGGGACAUGGAUACAGGUGGUGCAUGGUUGUCGUCAGCUCGUGUCGUGAGAUGUUGGGGUUAAGUCCCGCAACGAGCGCAACCCUUAUUAUCAGUUGCCAGCAUUAAGUUGGGCACUCUGGUGAGACUGCCGGUGACAACCGGAAGAAGGUGGGGAUGACGUCC